GACGAACGCUGGCGGCGUGCUUAACACAUGCAAGUCGAACGGAAAGGCCCUGCUUUUGUGGGGUGCUCGAGUGGCGAACGGGUGAGUAACACGUGAGUAACCUGCCCUUGACUUUGGGAUAACUUCAGGAAACUGGGGCUAAUACCGGAUAGGAGCUCCUGCUGCAUGGUGGGGGUUGGAAAGUUUCGGCGGUUGGGGAUGGACUCGCGGCUUAUCAGCUUGUUGGUGGGGUAGUGGCUUACCAAGGCUUUGACGGGUAGCCGGCCUGAGAGGGUGACCGGCCACAUUGGGACUGAGAUACGGCCCAGACUCCUACGGGAGGCAGCAGUGGGGAAUAUUGCACAAUGGGCGGAAGCCUGAUGCAGCAACGCCGCGUGCGGGAUGACGGCCUUCGGGUUGUAAACCUCUUUCAGCAGGGACGAAGCGCAAGUGACGGUACCUGCAGAAGAAGCACCGGCCAACUACGUG
rnacentral:rRNA from 1 species